UGUUAGUUUUCUUACCUUAAAUUGAGCUACAUGAUACAGACACUAUGUAUUUGAGGUUAUUUGAUUAGCAAACACCGAGUAUAUCACUACAAUAUAAUUAAUAGCUUAUAAAAGCUUAUAAACAUUAUGCCAGGACAACUGAGAGGCGAUAUAGACCUUUUGCACUAAACAGAUGUUAAAACAAACAGUCAAAGAAACAUGCACAAUAAUAUGUUUGACCAAAAGACAAACAUCUGACUACAAAACACUACAUAUUAACUCAAGACAAGAACGGACUUUACCAAAAACAA
rnacentral:lncRNA from 1 species